rnacentral:rRNA from 1 species
UACGUAGGUCCCGAGCGUUGUCCGGAUUUAUUGGGCGUAAAGCGAGCGCAGGUGGUUUAUUAAGUCUGGUGUAAAAGGCAGUGGCUCAACCAUUGUAUGCAUUGGAAACUGGUAGACUUGAGUGCAGGAGAGGAGAGUGGAAUUCCAUGUGUAGCGGUGAAAUGCGUAGAUAUUAGGAGGAACACCAGUGGCGAAAGCGGCUCUCUGGCCUGUAACUGACACUGAGGCUCGAAAGCGUGGGGAGCAAACAGG